rnacentral:lncRNA from 1 species
UUUAUGUCAUUCUUCAAAUAAAUUAAGAAGUCUUUGAUCUGCCUUCCAAAAAAAAAGGUUAAAAUCGAUUAGUCUUUACCAUGCAAGUGGUAGCCCAGUUGGAAUGAGCCUUUGCCCGCUUACCCUUACGUCUGAGGUUCGAGCUACAUGAGGAGUCGAUUAAAUGAGGAUAUAAUCCGAUACCUUGACACUGGCGAUGAGGGGUGGUAUCUGGUCCCUCUGGUGCUUGGGUGGUGCUGGGGUGAUGUACCCACCCGAUGGGGAGGCCAUAGGCCCCACACAUGGUGGAGAAGUACUGAGCUGGCUUCCAUUGUCACCCUAUAUCGAACAUUCUCCAGUAGACUGGGGCCCUACAUGAUCACACCUAGAGGGGGUAGCUACGCUGGUUGCCCCCCUUCACUCCAUUUUCUUAUAAAAAAAAAAAA